UUUGCAGUAGCGAAGAACCCCGCUAGUCUCACAAAGCAUCGAGCAAAUCCCAAGGUGGCUCCAGUUAUUGCGAAAAUAUUUGGACCAAGCAAACUUUAAGUUUUUAACGUGAACGGGAGGGUCAACUUCGAGAGUCAAAAUGUGAUUACCUUUGUUAUGCUUAGAGAGACUGUUCGGUCUUACCUAUUUGUACAGCAGAUGUUAUACAGUUGAUAAUUGACAAACUAGAGUAACGUGAUAUAAAUUUGUAAAUCUUGAGCUUACCCACAAGGCUAAAUAUUGUUGGGAAUUCUAGCACCGAGUGCUUCACUUUUACAUGGUAGAAUUAAGACUUAAUUGACCAUUUGGUCUAGAGGAGUUUUGUGCGUAAUCUUGCAUUUGUUUGAAAGAAAAUUAAACAACGUGGCUUAGUUAUGAUAA
rnacentral:lncRNA from 1 species